GUUUCCUCUUCCUUGUCAUUGGACAGGUUCACGCAUCUGCAUCGGAGUUAACAGCACCGGGCUGCAGACUUACCUGAGCAUGUCAGACUCAAUGGCUGUUUCCUGUAACUUCCCCCUGGAGGAAUAUGCAUGUGCCAAGCUGGAAAACUUCACCGGCGGUCAGCUGGUGGCCCUUCUGAAGUGUGAUCUGCCCGGUAACCACAGCCACUCCAGGAGGGUGUGGAAGCUGCUGCUCACCAAGCACCUCCCCGUGUUGGAAGCAGCCUUGGAUAGGCUGGCUAACAUGAGCACGGUGAUGAUUGGCCCAUCGGCCGCUGAGGUCCUGGAUGUGAUCGGAGAGCUGAGAGUGGGCUUGCUGAGCGACGAGCAGCUAAGGGACGCGGACCUGAUGAGGUUCUGGUUCUCCGGACGCCUCAAAGGGUUCCUGGCGUCCGCGUCCGGGAGAUUCCUCAACUGCCUCGUCGACAGGAACCUCAGCUGCCAGUCCUACCAGCAGAUACUGGAGGCGUUCAGCGGGCAGUUUGACAACAUGAGCCCGCAGCAGCAGCACACGGUGCUGAGACGUCUGGUCCUUCCCUUCCUCUCCCGCCAAGACCCAGACAGAGGCUGUGUCUCAGGCCUCAAUAGCACAGAGUGGCUGCAGAGGAACCUGGGGCGGUUCUCAGCCCUGCUGUCCCUGGAGGAUCUCCUCAAUCUGAACCCAGCCUUCUCCCCUCUGGAGGCCCUGCCGCUGCUGUCCCCCGGGCAGACUGCAGAGCUGCUGCUGCUGCCGGCUCUCUCCCCCGAGCCCCAGCGGGAGGUGAUCCAGGCGGUGUUCACCUUCCUCCGCGCCGCGCCCGGGGACAGGCGGUUCCUGGAGGUCCUCGACCACCUCGUCGACUUGUCUGAACAGCUCGAGGGAAACAUCUCCUGCUCGACAUACAGAACAAUUUUCACUGAGUUAGACCGGGCCAUGGUCGUGGUGCCUCUGCAUGUAGCAGCAGCCAUCGACCACAGCAAGCUGCGGCUCUUCAGCCACAUACCCAGAGGUCCGAUGGCUCAAAAUGAAGCUCUCAAUAGCAGCAGCAUCAUUGUCAUGAUAUAGAGCUCGGCCCUAUAUGGUGACAAUGAUGCUACUGGACAUUUUUUUGAAUCAGAAUCUAUUUGUAUAGUUGUGAUCAUGCUCAGACUAAAUAC
rnacentral:lncRNA from 1 species